AGGACGAACGCUGGCGGCGUGCCUAACACAUGCAAGUCGAGCGGAAAGGCCCUUCGGGGUACUCGAGCGGCGAACGGGUGAGUAACACGUGAGUAAUCUGCCCCUAGCUCUGGGAUAGCUCCGGGAAACCGGGAUUAAUACCAGAUACGACCACUUUAGACAUCUUCUGUGGUGGAAAGAACUUCGGCUAGGGAUGAACUCGCGGCCUAUCAGCUUGUUGGUGAGGUAACGGCUCACCAAAGGCGACGACGGGUA
rnacentral:rRNA from 1 species